rnacentral:tRNA from 1 species
AUUUAAAUAACUUAAGGUUGAAAGUAUUAUAUUGAAAAUAUAAGCGUAAUUUUUAUUUUUAAAUA